rfam:Rattus norvegicus chromosome 20, whole genome shotgun sequence.
GGGGAUUUAGCUCAGCGGUAGAGCGCUUGCCUAGCAAGGCCCUGGGUUCAGUCCCCA